rnacentral:rRNA from 1 species
AUACGGAGGAUGCGGGCGUUAUCCGGAUUUAUUGGGUUUAAAGGGAGCGUAGGCGGGAGCUUAAGUCAGCGGUUAAAUGGUGCGGCUCAACCGUGCCCUGCCGUUGAAACUGGGUUUCUUGAGAGUGCAAGAGGCGGAUUGAAUUCAUGGUGUAGCGGUGAAAUGCUUAGAUAUCAUGAAGAACUCCGAUUGCGAAGGCAGUCCGCUGGGGCACGUCUGACGCUGAUGCUCGAAGGUGCGGGAAUCAAACAGGAUUAGAUACCCUGGUAGUCCGCACGGUAAACGAUGAUUACCCGCUGUCGGCGGUAGACAGUCGGCGGCCAAGCGAAAGCGAUAAGUAAUCCACCUGGGGAGUACGCCGGCAACGGUGAAACUCAAAUGAAUUGACGGGG